CUGAAAUUUGGUUUCAGAAAUAAAGAUCAAGAAUUCGUCACAAUCCCAAGAACUCGUCACAAUCCGACAUGUCCCACUGAGGAAUGGAUGGUCCUGGAGCAGUUCAGUUCCACCCCAGUGAGUAUGGUGUUGAUUGCUGGUGAAUCUAAGCAUCCAGUGCACUUCAACCAAGUCAAUGGACUCACUAGAGGCCACGAUAUCUCUCCUGGUACCCUGACUCUUGCUUCAAGAAAACACAACUGUGUUGUCUUACUUCUUGUCUGGCCUUGCCUUACUUCAAAGUGCCAUACCUGAUCUACGCAGCGACAGAAGGUCACAUGCACACCAGAAACUGAAGAUUCCACGAGUUGGCAAGUGGUUCAUUAAAAGUAAACCAGGUAUUUGGUCGAUUUU
rnacentral:lncRNA from 1 species